CCACACUGGGACUGAGACACGGCCCAGACUCCUACGGGAGGCAGCAGUAGGGAAUUUUCGGCAAUGGGCGAAAGCCUGACCGAGCAAUGCCGCGUGAACGAUGAAGGCCUUCGGGUCGUAAAGUUCUGUUAUUUGGGAAGAACACAUAGUCUAGGAAAUGAUUCUAUGUUGACGGUACCUUAUCAGAAAGCUCCGGCUAACUACGUGCCAGCAGCCGCGGUAAUACGUAGGGAGCGAGCGUUAUCCGGAAUUAUUGGGCGUAAAGCGUGCGUAGGCGGUUUGUUAAGUCAUUUGUAAAAGAUCUCAGCCUAACUGAGUAAGGCGAAUGAAACUGGCAGACUUGAAUACGGUAGAGGUAAGUGGAAUUCCAUGUGUAGCGGUGGAAUGCGUAGAUAUAUGGAGGAACACCAAUGGCGAAGGCAACUUACUGGGCCGGAACUGACGCUGAGGCACGAAAGCGUGGGGAGCAAACAGGAUUAGAUACCCUGGUAGUCCACGCCGUAAACGAUGAGAACUAAGUGUUGGGGUUACCCAGUGCUGAAGCUAACGCAUUAAGUUCUCCGCCUGGGGAGUACGACCGCAAGGUUGAAACUCAAAGGAAUUGACGGGUCUCCGCACAAGCGGUGGAGCAUGUUGUUUAAUUCGAAGAUACGCGAAGAACCUUACCAGGUCUUGACAUCUUCUUGAUCGCUCUAGAGAUAGAGUUUCCCUUCGGGGCAAGAAUGACAGGUGGUGCAUGGUUGUCGUCAGCUCGUGUCGUGAGAUGUUGGGUUAAGUCCCGCAACGAGCGCAACCCCUAUUAUUAGUUGCUAACAUUAAGUUGAGGACUCUAAUGAGACUGCCAGUGAUAAACUGGAGGAAGGUGGGGAUGACGUCAAAUCAUCAUGCCCCUUAUGACCUGGGCUACAAACGUGCUACAAUGGCCGGUACAAAGAGUUGCCAACCCGCGAGGGGGAGCUAACCUUUUAAAACCGGUCUCAGUUCGGAUCGAAGUCUGCAACUCGACUUCGUGAAGUUGGAAUCGCUAGUAAUCGUGGGUCAGCAUACCACGGUGAAUACGUUCUCGGAGAUUGUACACACCGCCCGUCAUACCACGAGAGUUUGUAAUACCCGAAGUACGUGGCCUAACCAGCUUGCUGGAGGGAGCGUCCUAAGGUAGGACAGAUGAUUGGGGUAAAGUCGUAACAAGGUAUCCCUACGGGAACGUGGGGAUG
rnacentral:rRNA from 1 species